rnacentral:rRNA from 1 species
AUUGAACGCUGGCGGCAUGCCUUACACAUGCAAGUCGAACGGCAGCACGGGCUUCGGUCUGGUGGCGAGUGGCGAACGGGUGAGUAAUGUAUCGGAACGUACCUUUCAGUGGGGGAUAACGUAGCGAAAGUUACGCUAAUACUGCAUAUUCUGUGAGCAGGAAAGCAGGGGAUCGCAAGACCUUGCGCUGAUUGAGCGGCCGAUAUCAGAUUAGCUAGUUGGUGAGGUAAAGGCUCACCAAGGCGACGAUCUGUAGCGGUGCUGAGAGGAUGAUCCGCCACACUGGAACUGAGACACGGUCCUGACUCCUACGGGAGGCAGCAGUGGGGAAUUUUGGACAAUGGGCGCAAGCCUGAUCCAGCCAUGCCGCGUGAGUGAAGAAGGCCUUCGGGUUGUAAAGCUCUUUCGGCCGGGAAGAAAUCGCAUGGGUUAAUACCCUGUGCGGAUGACGGUACCGGCAUAAGAAGCACCGGCUAACUACGUGCCAGCAGCCGCCGUAACAC